rnacentral:rRNA from 1 species
UACAGAGGGGGCAAGCGUUGUUCGGAAUUACUGGGCGUAAAGGGCGCGUAGGCGGCCUGCUAAGUCGAACGUGAAAUCCCUGGGCUCAACCCAGGAACUGCGUCCGAUACUGGUUGGCUUGAAUCCGGGAGAGGGACGUGGAAUUCCAGGUGUAGCGGUGAAAUGCGUAGAUAUCUGGAGGAACACCGGUGGCGAAGGCGGCUAUCUGGACCGACAUUGACGCUGAGGCGCGAAAGCGUGGGGAGCAAACAGG